rnacentral:rRNA from 1 species
GAAUAUUGCGCAAUGGGCGAAAGCCUGACGCAGCCACGCCGUGUGAGCGAUGAAGGCCCUCGGGUCGUAAAGCUCUGUGGGGGGAGAAGAAGUUCUGACGGUAUCCCCUUAGCAAGCACCGGCUAACUCCGUGCCAGCAGCCGCGGUAAUACGGAGGGUGCAAACGUUGCUCGGAAUCAUUGGGCGUAAAGCGCACGUAGGCGGCCAAGCAAGUUGGAUGUGAAAGCCCAGGGCUCAACCCUGGAAGUGCAUCCAAAACUGUUUGGCUUGAGUUCCGGAGGGGCCCAGAGAAUUCCCGGUGUAGAGGUGAAAUUCGUAGAUAUCGGGAGGAAUACCAGUGGCGAAGGCGCUGGGCUGGACGGAUACUGACGCUGAGGUGCGAAAGCGUGGGGAGCAAACAGG